GACGGACAACAACAGAAUGCCAGCCCAAGAUGAGGAAUUGCGGGAUGAAGCUGCUCUGCUGAGACAGAUGGAGCUUUUACCCCUCAAGGGUUCGGCCUCUAACCUGCCAAAGCUCAAGAGGGCCAAUUCCAGAGGAAAAAGUACGUAAGUGGCUGCAAACUUGAAGGCCAAUUUCUUUGUUUUUGCAGAAGGGAGAAAACCAUCCCUUCAGGAUGACAACUGGAGGAGCCAUAAGGAGGCUUUCAGUCCACUCCGGACGAUGGCACUUGGAUUGUUGUAAUGCAGAACCCAAUGGUGGCUUAUAUACGGGGACUAUUUUACUACACUGUUACAACUAGCUUCAUCCAUAGAUGGGCUAGAACAAGUGAGCAACCUGUGUUCCACCGUUGAACAACAACUCCCAUGAUCCACACCAUUGGCUGUGUUGGAAAAAAAAAGCUGAGGGAUUUGAGGACUUAUCAUCUCUUAAAUGCUGCAUGCUGCCUUUCGAAGCCUAGACAUAUUUACCAGCCACAAAUUUAUUUUAUUUUAUUUUUUGCUCUAGCCUAGAAAGCACACCCCAAAAACCAGACAGCACAAAAUAUUUAGAAGCCCUGUCGAGCCAAGCUGAUGUAACUCACACCUGUUUCCUGCCUGAUGGCGGAGGGACCUUCUCCCACAGCUGUACAAAAGGCGUCGUGUAGCGUGGCACAGAAUGUCAGGAGGGGUGGGUGUGCGCGCACACAUGUGUUUGUUUGUGUGUGUGCUCGUGCAUAUGUGCAUGCAUGUGUGAAAAGUUCUGAGGGUGUAGGUGUGCAAAACGGACGUCGCCACGGCUGUGGGGGUGGGGAAGCAAGCCCCAGGAAUUUUAUUUUCCAUCAUUCAUUGGUACCCGGGGCCGAAAAUGAUGGCGUGUCCUUCCUUCCUUCCUUCCUUCCUUCUUUCAUUGAUACCCAGGGACGAAAACGAUGGUGUGUCCUUUCUUCCUUCCGCCUCCAGAUCAAAGCUCGGCUGGAGUCAGCGUCUCUUAUGAAGAUGAUGGGACUGUGUCCAGCUGCAGUUUCAUCAUCCUCCCGCAAAGAGAUUUGCCCCAGACCCCCUCAGAGGAUCCGUUGCCUCCGGAGGAAAUGUAUUCAAACCUGACCUUCCCGAAACGAGCCCUGGAGGUGUUCUAUGAAUCUGUAAAGGUGAAUGAAGAAGAACCUGAGGAGACCUGUGUGAUCCCAGAGGAAGCUGCUGGUGGGGUCCAGGCGGACCAGCCUGUGGAGGUGGCCUAUGCCCGCGUGCUGAAAGGAAAGCAGAAGAAAAACCACAGCGGACCGGAGGUGGGGGCGUCUCAGGAGCCUUGCCCAGGAGGGACAGUUUUGACUCCAACUGUGCAGGUGCAAGACAUGUACUCUGUGGUAUGUAAGAACAAGAGGAAAACAGCCCACAGCUGUGAGGGGCUUGGUGACGAGAGAACCUCUCCAAUGAAGGCAAGCCCAGGAAACUGCCGCAGGGUGUCUGUCGGUGAUGAGGAAUCAGGUGGCAGGCCAGGAGACUGGUCCCCCUCAUCCUUCGAGUCCCCCGUGACUGAACCUUGCUAUGAGUCCGUCCGUUGCAGAUCCUGGGGAGACGCAGGCAGGGAGAAAACCACCGAACCGGCUUACGAGACUGUAGACAUCCUCUGGGAAAAUCCAAGGGCAAAAAAGAAGUUGAAGAAGAAAGUUCCUGCAGAAAACCUAUACGAGAGUAUUGAAAACUUGGCCUUUCAGUGCCAGAAUCUAAACAUGGCAUCCCGUUUUGAACUCUGAUUCCUUUGGACUUUGCCCCCUCUCCACUUGUUCGUGGGGUAUUUCCAAUACUGUAAAAUGAAUGAACGAAUAAACCCAGCAGAACCUUUAUAAAAUACUAGUGC
ensembl:lncRNA uncharacterized LOC110089395